rnacentral:tRNA from 1 species
GGAGGGGUGGCUGAGUGGUCGAAAGCACCGGUCUUGAAAACCGGCGUACCGCAAGGUACCCAGGGUUCGAAUCCCUGCCCCUCCGCCA